AAAGAAUUUUCACAUCCCCCAUGAUUUCAGGUGGUGUCCGGCAACCGAAUCAUGGAAGUCUGGGGCAUGCUGAGGAGGAAAGGUCCAUCUGACUUGGAGCUGGCGAAAUCUGGAAGAUAGAAUUUAUACAAGCAUGUUAAAUCAAGAGGGACUAAAAAUUAAAAAUAGAAACCAAAUGGCGAAUAGUGAC
rnacentral:lncRNA from 1 species